UACGAAGGGGGCUAGCGUUACUCGGAUUGACUGGGCGUAAAGGGCGCGUAGGCGGUUUGUACAGUCAGACGUGAAAUUCCUGGGCUCAACCUGGGGGCUGCGUUUGAUACGUGCAGACUUGAGUUCGGAAGAGGGUCGUGGAAUUCCCAGUGUAGAGGUGAAAUUCGUAGAUAUUGGGAAGAACACCGGUGGCGAAGGCGGCGACCUGGUCCGAUACUGACGCUGAGGCGCGAAAGCGUGGGGAGCAAACAGG
rnacentral:rRNA from 1 species